UAUAUCUCCUUCUGCAAUCUAAAAACUCUUCACCCUUCCUUCCUCCUUCUCUUAUUUCUCAAUUUUCUUCUUCAAUUCUAUCAAUUCUCUUUAUCCAUCUCUCAUACUUCAUGUUCACUUUCGUUCAUCAAAUAAAUUUCAUCUUGAUGACGUUUCUAUUAUGGAGAAAGGAAAGGAAACAUGCAACAAUUGCAGGGGUAGAUAUGGGUGAUUUGGCACAUAUUAGUGAGUCCCAGAAAGAGUUAUUGAUGAUAAUUGUUAAGGGUAAAAACGGAAUAAAAUGAAUUCUGAAGUUGUAACCCAACAACAAAUUGAGAAUCGAUUAGCAGAAGCUAGGAUUCCUAACUUUUGAUAUAAUCGAGUUUGGAAGGCAGAAUCGAUUCUUCAAGAAAAAACCAAACAUGUUUACAACAGACAAGAAUCACGUUUACGGACAAAAACGCACGUUUGAGGGGUUGAAACGCGUAACCAAACAUAUGCUAAGAGUAAUAGAGUUCACCUUGUUAGAUAUGUAAUGUCAUGUCAUCAAUCAAGUUUGAAUCCUGGGUAGUAAGCAAAGAAUAAAAAACAAUUUAGAUCCUUCUAUAGAGCAUGACCAACAACACCAAAGAAAAUAGACUAUUUUCCAAACGGUGGUAUCAAUUCUUUCAUUGGUGAAAUUCCAAUCCAAACAAGCAUGAAG
rnacentral:lncRNA from 1 species